GACGUAGGGCGCGAGCGUUGUCCGGAUUUAUUGGGCGUAAAGAGCUCGUAGGCGGCUUGUUGCGUCGACUGUGAAAACCCGCAGCUCAACUGUGGGCUUGCAGCCGAUACGGGCGGGCUGGAGUUCGGUAGGGGAGACUGGAAUUCCUGGCGUAGCGGUGAAAUGCGCAGAUAUCAGGAGGAACACCGGUGGCGAAGGCGGGUCUCUGGGCCGAUACUGACGCUGAGGAGCGAAAGCGUGGGGAGCGAACAGG
rnacentral:rRNA from 1 species